CAACCCUGCAGAAUGUCUGCCAUGCUUGAGACCUGGAAACAAUGGGGUAAUUAGUCCCACCUAAGCUCGGUUGUCUGCUGGAGACAGCCUCUAAGCCUGCAUCUGGCUGUCCACCUUGAGAUUUCUGUGGUUCCCCAAAACAACAGAUGGAUGAGUGGGUGAUCCUUGCAUUAAAAGCCAGUUGUGUCCCCUCAGGGCCUGGAAGCCCCUCUUCUCCUAAGUCUGGUGGGGCUCAGGCACCACCCCUUACACAUACCAUCUUUGAAGUCAGUUACCCAAGAGGAAGCUGCUUUAGGCCCUCUAACGGUUAAAUGCCAACUCCCCACUUCAAGAAUGCACUGACCUGAUCCAGUGUGCCUAGCCAUCCCAUGGGGCCUGCAGCUUUCUGCUGGUGACAGCGAGGCAGGGAGCAAGGUCCACACAGGCCCUCAAAGGAUAUGAACGAAUCCACCCCCUCCACCCCCCCCCCGUUGUUCCUGUUGGAGUAAUCUCUAGGCUUGGAAGUUAAGAAGUUGCCUACUACCCACAAAUGAGACUGCAUGCAGCCUAGUUGGAAUGGAGUUACACUUCCCAGACCAUCCAGUGCCCUCUCCCUACCCUGGGCAGGGGCGAAUCGAAGCCUGGGUGGAAGAACAGGGUUGACGCUUGUAUUGAAUGUUGUUUUCCAAUUAAAUAAAAGCUCCGUAGCCUCA
rnacentral:lncRNA from 1 species